ACACUUCACAUUUGCUAGGUAUUUAUUUAUUUUUGAAAGGACGUGAGAGUCCCGGUCUUCAUUGUCGAAAACAAAAGCCCUAGCUCUCGCUCUCAAUCUUUCUCGCCGAGCUCUCUGAAAUUCUAUGGCUAUCCUCGCCUUUCACAUUGCGUUGAAGAUGGAUGAUGAAGCUAUCGCAGACAACUUCUCCUUCGGGAGCUUUUUCUCUCAAGAGCUGUGUCUCAGAAGGAAGAAGUCGACGAACAAUGACGCGAUGACGAACAAUUCAUCGCUGAUCUGCUCUGGUUCUCCCACAAUCUCUCCGUCAUAUUAACUUGAUCUUCCUUCACAUUGUAAGGUUAUCAAGCAAGUUGAAGUUGAAUAUGUACCAGAAAAGGCUAAAUUUGAUGGUCAUUUGGAUGAGGAGUUUAGGAAGGUCUUUGAGAAAUUCAAUUUUAAGCUCAUAUGUUAGUUUGGAUCAGAUGCCAAGCAAGUUGGUAUGUUAAAUCAUUAAAGAAUGUGAAAGGCUUCAAGUUUUGUGUCAUGUUGGACUUCAAAGAGGAUGUAGCUUUUGAGAAGACAUGCUUACUAAAUUCAACUUGACUUGAAUAUGCCUUGUGCUGCACUACGAUUACAUAUUUUCAUCUUUAUUUUAAAUGGAAUUCAAUUAUUGUUUGAUGAUUUAGUGAAGUUACAAGAAAGGAAAUUUGUUAA